rnacentral:rRNA from 1 species
AUGGCGGAAGGGUUAGUAAUACAUGGGUAACGUACCUUUAACAUUGGGAUAACAGUUGGAAACGACUGCUAAUACUAAAUGAGGUGAUGAUAGGGAGUCCUAAUAUCAUCAAAGUGGGGGAUCGUAAGACCUCGCGGUUAAAGAGCGGCCCAUGCGAUAUCAGCUAGUUGGUGAGGUAAAGGCUCACCAAGGCUAAGACGUCUAGGCGGAUUGAGAGAUUGACCGCCAACACUGGGACUGC